AUCUGUUCUCGGCUUUUAUGGUGUUAUCACCUGUAGUAUCUUUUCUUCUCAGUUUAAUAUCUCCUAUGUCCUCUAUCUGGCGACCAUAUAUCUAAUGUUUUUUUCGGACGGGAAGAGUGAAAAAGAGCUUGCUCUGUCCACUCCAUGCAUUGACCUACUCUACUGCAGUUCGCCGAUGUAUGUGAC